AGAGAGGUUUUUCACACACACCAAGUUCCGUCAAUCUUUAAUUUUUCUACGAGUGGUGAAGCUGCUAGACCGACAAUGAACAACAAAUCUGCCAUUCUUGUUUUCUGUUUCGUUGUUUUCAUGGCACUGGCUAGCCAAAGUGAUGCAGCAUUCGGAUAUAUUCCUUCGGGAAACGGAAAGAAGAGAGAUGUGAAGGAACUAAGUGAUUCGGCCAAGUUUCAAGAAGACUAUGCAAGAUACAUUUGUACCGCAGCGAGAAACAUCGGCUGCUGCAGCAAGCGAGCGACGAACGAUGAAGCAUAGGGAAAUGACAUGCACUAGAAAUUGAAUUUGGCCUUCAUGUUAAAUGCUAUGAUAGAAAAAUAUCAUUUUAAUAGGAUGCAAUUAAUAAACCUAAUUUAAACGUG